ensembl:snRNA U1 U1 spliceosomal RNA
AUUAGUGCAUGUGUAGAUGGGUUUGCUGUGAUCAACAAGGUGGUUUUCCCAGGGUGAGGUCUGUCCCUUGCACUCUGGGCAGGUCAACCUCUGACAGUUUCCCCAAAUGCAGGAAACUCAACUGCACAAUUUUGUGGCAAUGGGGGACUGUGUUCACACUUCCCCCAU